rnacentral:rRNA from 1 species
AGUCACUGACAUUAGAUACCCGGGUAGUCCCAGCCGUAAACAAUGUGCGUUAGGUGUGUCGGUAACCACGCGUUACUGAUGCGCCGAAGAGAAAUCGUGAAACGCACCACCUGGGAAGUACGGUCGCAAGGCUGAAACUUAAAGGAAUUGCGGGGAGCAUCACAACAGGUGGAGCCUGCGGUUUAAUUGGAUUCAACGCCGGACAUCUCACCGGAUAAGACAGCUGAAUGAUUGUCAAUCUGAAGGUUUUACAUGACUAGCUG